AAAUAGUGUCAUUUAACUGGCCUGCCCAUAUCCGAGACACCGCUCCUCCGCUCGCCAGCUCCGCCACCGGCCGCAGGCCCGCAGCGAUCCAUCGGUCUGAUGAGGUCGCCGGAACCCGACGGCCGCCUCCGUCCGCCCACCGCCGCGACGCCACCUCGUAUGACCGGAUUGCUUCCGACUCCGCCUUCACCUCCCCUUCGCUCGCCCAGUUCGAUCCAAGGUUUUCUUCUUGCAGUCAAUCCCCCCGUGUAAAUAAAAAAGCUAAUUUAGGAGAGAUUCAUGAAUGGAGCCAUAGCUCUCCUGGGUUUCUCCUCCAACUGACUGCAGCCAUCUGGCUUCUGAGGAGAUGAGAGCCUUUUAUGGCCUGGAGGAUGGUGUUAUGGGAUUGAAGGUUAGCCUUUUCUGCUGCCGGUGGCACAACUUUAUCAUUCAUGUAUGGUUGAUGAAUUGUGGUUUUCCCGAAAAGAGGUAUUGAGUUUAUGAAACAUAGACAAUGAUACAUAAUAUAUUAGUGGCCUGAAAGAUGACACCGGUGUCAUGAACAUGUAGUUCCAAAUCCCAUUAUUCACAAAGUGUCAGGAACCUAACAGUCCAACCUUGAGCACUCCCUCUGAAACAAAAGAGUUGGGAAUAACUUCGACCUAUUGCUAAUUGGUAGUGCCUUAAGAACUUCAGAUGUCUAAAUAUGUUUUUUCUCUUCCCUAAGGUACUCAGAAUUUUUUUUUGGUUACUCUGUGCAUUUCAUGCAAAGCAUUGGCUAUUUGCAAUUACUGUGUCAUUCUUCCUUUGAAGUUUGAAUGGCAGGUACCAACUGCAAGAACUGAGUGAUGCAUGAAAUUUCUGUGUCUGCCUUGUUGGUGAUGUCUAAUUUAUCUGUUCCAUCAGUAUCAGGUAGGAAUAAAGGUUACUUCCGGAUGAAGGCUACCUCCUUGAAUGUGCCCUGAAUUGGUCCUUUGGCAGCUGGCACCUGUGUAGAGCUACUACACCGAAGUUUAUCCUAGUUCCCCAUGUAGCACCUUUCUUGUAGUUUCAGUUGUUCAAAUAAGGGAUAAUUUUCAUUUCUCUAUGUGGAGCUAAAAGUUGGCAAUGAUAAAUAUGUUGUAGGCAUCGUGCAAGAUAAACACAUACAUCAAUAUUCCUUUAUUGCUCAUAUGCGAAAAAUAAAGAUGUAGAAAGUUCCAACAAACAUAUAGUAUGACACAGUUUUCAUAAUAAGAUGUAAUCUUUGUGUUCUUUCAGAUGCAACCAGAAAUGAUAAGUAGCUGCAGAGAUAGUAGCAUGCAUCAUGCAAGAUCUUGUUUGCUUUCUUGGAUUUAGGUACAUCGAUUUGACUACAUAUCUUACAAGCUCCCUGAAAUGCCUUAGUUAUUUGAGGUUUCAUCACUGAUCAGACAUGCCAAACUUGUCUCUUAUAGUCUGCAACUCUUUCAAAGCAUCACUAAUCUGCAAGCGAUCUGUUGGGUUAUCGUUUGAACAUGAAAUUCCAAUCUGCAGGACCGAUGUGAUGCAAGCGAUUCUUGCAUCUCUUAUUUUGACUGAGUUUGAGAUUCCUUGUUGUUCAUCCCCAUCCUUUGAUAACAGCUUCUGGUCUGCAAUAUUGAUCACCCUUUCUGGAAGUGCUGUCUGAACAUAUUUACGAAGGCUGAGUCCUUCUUCGAAUUCACUGUCUGUCGGUCUUUUUCCAGUAAACAUCUCCAGCAACAAUAUGCCAUAGCUGUAGACAUCACCCUGGAUUGAAACUUUGUUGCCCAAACCAUACUCUGUAAUCACAAAAAUAUUAUUGUAAGAAAGCACAACUCAAGAUUUAGCAUUCAUAUUUGCAAAAAGACUUUUGCCUAAGAACAGAAAAAAAAACAUUAUGGUAUCCUUAGUUGUUUUUACAACACAUUCUUAUCUGAAUAAGGAAAAUAUAAUAAAAAUAAACCCAUCCGAAUAUGGAGUAUGGACUGAAGUAUAGGCUGGGUAAAUAAUUUGAUUCAGAAAAGAAGGCCAUCGCAAUUUUUUAAGUACUCUAGUUUUGUCAAUUUUAGUGGCUGAAACAUACCUGGAGCAGCAUAGCCAAUUGUUCCUCUCAUUGUAGCCCACCCACUUGAUUUCUCUGAUAUGACACUAUGAUCUUGAUGCAGGACUCUUGCAAGCCCAAAGUCAGCAACAUGCCCAACCAUAUCAUUAUCAAGGAGAAUGUUGCUUGGCUUGAGAUCGCAGUGAAUAAUUGGUGAUGGCCUGUGAUGGUGCAUAUAAUCAAGAGCAGAAGCCACAUCAGUGGCGAUGCUGAGCCUUCUGAUAAUAUUCACGGCACUAUUUUCACCAUUUUCCUCAGGAUACUGGUGUAGCCAUUGGUCUAAAUUUCCAUUUGGUAAAAACUCAUAUACCAGAGCCUUGAAGUCAUGACCCUGAAAAUCAAUACUCGAGCAAACUGUCAAGAUCUUCACAAGGUUACGAUGCCGAACGCUUCUGAGAGUCUCACAUUCUGCAAGAAAGCUUUGUGCUGCCCCACGUUGUUGCAAGUUAAGAACUUUCACAGCAAUGAUGACUUGUUGGUUGUGGAUCAUCAUUCUUCCUUUGUACACUGAGCCGAAGCUUCCAACCCCAACGAGGUUCCUGGAAGCAAAGCCAUUUGUUGCAUGGACUAAGUCUGCAUAGCCUACUCUUAUAUGUAAAUCAUUGAGGAGUAACUGAUCUGUGUUUGCUUGUUGCAACCUGCUCCUAUUGUGCCAGCAAGCAAAUAGUGCUAAAAGGAUGGUAAGCACUAGGGCUGCACUGCUUAUAGAGACGAUAAGCUUCCAGGACCGACUGUUGCUGGUGUGAGUGGAGCAGCGAGGCAACUUCAAUUCAGAGAUACCCCCACACAGGCCUUGAUUUCCCUCAGUUGCAAUUGCACUCGCAUUGAGAAAUACUCCGUCUUUGGGAACUUCACCCUCAAAGUAGUUGAAUGAGAUGUUCAAACUAGCAAGUCCUUUCAUUCUAACAAGAAACUGAGGAAUAUCUCCUGACAGGUUAUUGUGUGAAAGAUCAAGUACUUCAAGUCCUUUCAGCCGUUCCAUUGAUGCUGGGAUUGUCCCAUGAAGCAAGUUUCCUUGCAUCCGUAAAUAUUGCAGGCUUUGACAACCACCAAUGGAGGCAGGAAUCUGACCAGAAAUCUGAUUACCAGAGAAGUUAAUGUCUGCAAUAUUUUUCAAGUUACCGAUUUCUGAUGGUAGUGACCCACUAAACAAGUUGCUCUGGAAAUACAUGAAAUUGGACAGGGAAGUUAUGAGGAAAACUUCCUUGGGAAUUGGACCACUGAGCAUAUUGUGCUGAAGAUCGAGCAGCUCUAAGGGACAGCUUCCAAGAUUUGAUGGCAUUGGUCCACUAAGUGAAUUUUUUCCAAGAUAGAGUUUAUUCAACAAUGUGAGAUUGCCAAGGGUCAGUGGAAUUUGGCCCAUGAGAUUGUUACUAGAUAGGUUGGCGCGCUAUGCGCGCCUGUAGCAAAAGGUUUGAUCUAAAAUUAUAAUAAAAAUAUAUUAUUAUGUGCUAUAGUUAAAGCAAUAUCGUGUUAAUGUAUUUUAACAAUAUGUUGAUGUAUUGAAUGAAGUCUGAAAGUUAAAGUACAUAGGUAUAGUAGUUUAAAGUCUGAGAGCACGCUAAAUGUAUAGAUAUAUAUAUUUUUAGGUUUUUUUGUUUUAUGUUAGUAGGUACGUUAGGUGAA